rnacentral:rRNA from 1 species
AGCAGCCGCGGUAAUUCCAGCUCCAAUAGCGUAUAUUAAAGUUGUUGCAGUUAAAAAGCUCGUAGUUGAAUUUCGGGGUUAGUAGGUUGGUCAUGCCUCUGGUAUGUACUGGUCUCACUGAUUCCUCCUUCCUGAUGAACCUUAAUGCCAUUAAUUUGGGUGUUUUUGGGGGAAUUUGGACUNUUACUUUGAAAAAAAUUAGAGUGUUUAAGCAAGCUAACGCUUGAAUACAUUAGCAUGGAAUAAUGAAAUAGGACGUUCGANCCUAUCUUGUUGGUUUCUAGGAUUGACGUAAUGAUUAAUAGGGAUAGUUGGGGGCAUUAGUAUUCAAUUGUCAGAGGUGAAAUUCUUGGAUUUAUUGAAGACUAACUACUGCGAAAGCAUUUGCCAAGGAUGUUUUCAUUAAUCAAGAACGAAAGUUAGGGGGAUCNAAGACGAUCAGAUACCGUCGUAGUCUUAGCCAUAAACUAUGCCGACUAGGGAUCGGAUGAUGUUAAUUUUUUAAUGACUCAUUCGGCGC